GGGAGUUUGGCCGAGUGGUUAAGGCGUUGUGUUUAGGUCUUCCCCAAGGGAAACCGUCAAACCGCAAUGGGAAACCGCGCAGGUUCGAAUCCUGCAGCUCUCA